CCUCCUCUCUCCCCUUCUUCAUCUCCCUCUCGCACUCUCCGCUUCCCUCAUCCUCUCCCUCCCUCUUCGCCAGGCGACUCGCCCCAGGAGCUGGGUCCGCCUGCGGAGCCGCCGGGCCAAGGCAAGAGCAUUUUCAGCACAGAGGAAGCUAGUGGCUUUCACUGUUUGCAUGAGGAGCCACCGCAGCGUGCUGAUGUAAUACAGAAUUUCUUGGAAUUACUAAACCUGAGAUUACAGAAGAAAA